GACGAACGCUGGCGGCGUGCUUAACACAUGCAAGUCGAACGGAAAGGCCCUGCUUUUGUGGGGUGCUCGAGUGGCGAACGGGUGAGUAACACGUGAGUAACCUGCCCUUGACUUUGGGAUAACUUCAGGAAACUGGGGCUAAUACCGGAUAGGAGCUCCUGCUGCAUGGUGGGGGUUGGAAAGUUUCGGCGGUUGGGGAUGGACUCGCGGCUUAUCAGCUUGUUGGUGGGGUAGUGGCUUACCAAGGCUUGGACGGGUAGCCGGCAUGAGAGGGUGACCGGCCACAUUGGGACUGAGAUACGGCCCAGACUCCUACGGGAGGCAGCAGUGGGGAAUAUUGCACAAUGGGCGGAAGCCUGAUGCAGCAACGCCGCGUGCGGGAUGACGGCCUUCGGGUUGUAAACCGCUUUCGCCUGUGACGAAGCGUGAGUGACGGUAAUGGGUAAAGAAGCACCGGCUAACUACGUG
rnacentral:rRNA from 1 species